rnacentral:rRNA from 1 species
GUGCCAGCAGCCGCGGUAAUACGGAGGAUCCAAGCGUUAUCCGGAAUCAUUGGGUUUAAAGGGUCCGUAGGCGGGACAAUCAGUCAGCGGUGAAAGUCUGUGGCUCAACCAUAGAAUUGCCAUUGAUACUGUUGUUCUUGAAUACUUAUGAAGUGGUUGGAAUAUGUAGUGUAGCGGUGAAAUGCAUAGAUAUUACAUAGAACACCGAUUGCGAAGGCAGAUCACUAAUAAGUCAUUGACGCUGAUGGACGAAAGCGUAGGUAGCGAACAGGAUUAGAUACCCUGGUAGUCUACGCCGUAAACGAUGGUUACUAGCUGUUCGGUCGCAAGACUGAGUGGCUAAGCGAAAGUGAUAAGUAACCCACCUGGGGAGUACGUUCGCAAGAAUGAAACUCAAAGGAAUUGACGG